UACAGAGGGGGCAAGCGUUUGUUCGGAAUUACUGGGCGUAAAGGGCGCGUAGGCGGCCUUCUAAGUCGAACGUGAAAUCCCCGGGCUCAACCCGGGAACUGCGUCCGAUACUGGAAGGCUUGAAUCCGGGAGAGGGAUGUGGAAUUCCAGGUGUAGGCGGUGAAAUGCGUAGAUAUCUGGAGGAACACCGGUGGCGAAGGCGACAUCCUGGACCGGUAUUGACGCUGAGGCGCGAAAGCCAGGGGAGCAAAGCGGG
rnacentral:rRNA from 1 species